rnacentral:rRNA from 1 species
GAUGAACGCUGGCGGCGUGCCUAAUACAUGCAAGUCGAGCGAACGGACGAGAAGCUUGCUCCUCUGAUGUUAGCGGCGGACGGGAGAGUAACACGUGGAUAACCUACCUAUAAGACAGGGAUAACUUCGGGAAACCGUAGCUAAUACCGGAUAAUAUUUUGAACCGCAUGGUUCAAAAGUGAAAGACGGUCUUGCUGUCACUUAUAGAUGGAUCCGCGCUGCAUUAGCUAGUUGGUAAGGUAACGGCUUACCAAGGCAACGAUGCAUAGCCGACCUGAGAGGGUGAUCGGCCACACUGGAACUGAGACACGGUCCAGACUCCUACGGGAGGCAGCAGUAGGGAAUCUUCCGCAAUGGGCGAAAGCCUGACGGAGCAACGCCGCGUGAGUGAUGAAGGUCUUCGGAUCGUAAAACUCUGUUAUUAGGGAAGAACAUAUGUGUAAGUAACUGUGCACAUCUUGACGGUACCUAAUCAGAAAGCCACGGCUAACUACGUG